rnacentral:rRNA from 1 species
GAUGAACGCUGGCGGCGUGCCUAAUACACGCAAGUCGAGCGAAUGGAUUAAGAGCUUGCUCUUAUGAAGUUAGCGGCGGACGGGUGAGUAACACGUGGGUAACCUGCCCAUAAGACUGGGAUAACUCCGGGAAACCGGGGCUAAUACCGGAUAAUAUUUUGAACCGCAUGGUUCGAAAUUGAAAGGCGGCUUCGGCUGUCACUUAUGGAUGGACCCGCGUCGCAUUAGCUAGUUGGUGAGGGAACGGCUCACAAAGGCAACGAUGCGUAGCCGACGUGAGAGGGUGAUCGGCCACACUGGGACUGAGACACGGCCCAGACUCCUACGGGGGGCAGCAGUAGGGAAUCUUCCGCAAUGGACGAAAGUCUGACGGAGCAACGCCGCGUGAGUGAUGAAGGCUUUCGGGUCGUAAAACUCUGUUGUUAGGGAAGAACAAGUGCUAGUUGAAUAAGCUGGCACCUUGACGGUACCUAACCAGAAAGCCACGGCUAACUACGUGCCAGCCGCCGCCGUAA